rnacentral:rRNA from 1 species
CAGCAGCCGCGGGAAAACGUAGGGUGCGAGCGUUAAUCGGAAUUACUGGGCGUAAAGCGUGCGCAGGCGGUUAUAUAAGACAGAUGUGAAAUCCCCGGGCUCAACCUGGGACCUGCAUUUGUGACUGUAUAGCUAGAGUACGGUAGAGGGGGAUGGAAUUCCGCGUGUAGCAGUGAAAUGCGUAGAUAUGCGGAGGAACACCGAUGGCGAAGGCAACCCCCUGGACCUGUACUGACGCUCAUGCACGAAAGCGUGGGGAGCAAACAGGAUUAGAUACCCCCGUAGUCCCUGUCUCUUAUAC